rnacentral:rRNA from 1 species
CAGUCGCCGCGGGAAUACGUAGGUCCCGAGCGUUGUCCGGAUUUAUUGGGCGUAAAGCGAGCGCAGGCGGUUAGAUAAGUCUGAAGUUAAAGGCUGUGGCUUAACCAUAGUACGCUUUGGAAACUGUUUAACUUGAGUGCAAGAGGGGAGAGUGGAAUUCCAUGUGUAGCGGUGAAAUGCGUAGAUAUAUGGAGGAACACCGGUGGCGAAGGCGACUCUCUGGUCUGUAACUGACGCUGAGGAGCGAAAGCGUGGGGAGCGAACAGGAUUAGAUACCCGUGUAGUCCCUGUCUCUUAUACA